ensembl:lncRNA
ACUAUCAGGGGAAUUACACAGUUUUCCGAGACGUGAACGCAGAUCGCCCUGCCGUCAGCUCCUGUAGAUGUCUAGUGUCCUGUGUCUUGUAGACACAGCAGGGAAGAGUCACUCUCGUUCAGAGCUUGGAUGUUUGAGCAGCUCAAACGUUUUUCAGCCAUCUGUAAUUGGCAGCUGGGAAGACUUGAAGCGGAAGGUUGGUUGCAUUCCAAGUUGCACAGGAGGGAGAUUUGAGAAGGCAAUCGAUAGGAAGCGAAUUGUGGUGCGGUGAAGUGAACGAUUUUAAUCUGGGACUAAGUAUCCUACAGUGGAUUAAUCCCUGGCGCUUACAUCCAGCAUUCUUCAUGAAAUAUGGAUAAGCCAGACACCAGGAGAAGAUUAUGAAAGAAAUAAAAGCCAUUUUCACCCCUAUACCUGUUCCAAAAGAAUGGGAAUGAAGAGGUGGGAAAAUAACG